rnacentral:rRNA from 1 species
CAGUAGCCGCGGUAAAACGAAGGGGGCUAGCGUUGUUCGGAUUUACUGGGCGUAAAGCGCACGUAGGCGGACUUUUAAGUCAGGGGUGAAAUCCCGGGGCUCAACCCCGGAACUGCCUUUGAUACUGGAAGUCUUGAGUAUGGUAGAGGUGAGUGGAAUUCCGAGUGUAGAGGUGAAAUUCGUAGAUAUUCGGAGGAACACCAGUGGCGAAGGCGGCUCACUGGACCAUUACUGACGCUGAGGUGCGAAAGCGUGGGGAGCAAACAGGAUUAGAUACCCCAGUAGUCCCUGUCUCUUAUAC